UGUGUGUGUGUGUGUGUGUGUGUGUGUGUGUGUGUGUGUGUGUGUGUGUGUGUGUGUGUGUGUGUGUGUGUGUGUGUGUGUGUGUGUGUGUGUGUGCGUGCGUGCGUGCGUGCGUGCGUGCGUGCGUGCGUGCGUGCGUGCGUGCGUGCGUGCGUGCGUGCGUGCGUGCGUGCGUUCUGUGUUGUGAAACCCAAGCGGCCGUGGGGAUAACUAAUUCAUGGGCACACACACAAAAACACACACCUAUACACACACCUAUACAUUCACAAACACACACCUAUACAGUACAUUGUGUUUGUGAAUGUAUAUGUGUGUAUAAUGUCUGUUAAUGUAGAGGUAUGUCAAAUUAAAUCAAACUUUAUCGGUCACAUACACAUGGUUAGCAGAUGUUAAUGCGAGUGUGUGUGUGUGUGUGUGUGUGUGUGUGUGUGUGUGUGUGUGUGUGUGUGUGUGUGUGUGUGUGUGUGUGUGUGUGUGUGUGUGUGUGUGUGUGUGUGUGUGUGUGUGUGUGUGUGUGUGUGUGUGUGUGUGUGCGCGUGUGUGUGUGUGUACAUGAGAAAUGGGAUAACAUGGUGGAACAUUGUGGUCCGGUGACCCACUUGUAGAAGAUUAAAUGAAGCUCUACAGAUGAGAUCCAGUCGUAUACUGUAGUACUACUACUACUACCCAACCAAUGUCGUAGGGUUCCUCAAGCCUUUUAUCUUAAGUACAGUAUGUAGUAAUAUAUUGUUAACUGUGGAAAGCCUGAGUAAACUGUUCCCAGAUCUGUUUGUGCUCUUGGUCACAGAUCCGUUUGCGCUCUUGCCAACAUACACUCAGUGGCCAUUUUAGUGAACCCCAUUCACUAAAAUGGUUCGCUCCUACAGACAGUGAGUCACGUGGCCGUAGCUUGCUUUAUAAAGCAGGCAAACAGGCAUCGAGGCAUUCAGUUACUGUUCGAUUGAAUGGGCAAAACUAGUGAUCUAAGCGACUUUGAGCAUGGUAUGAUCCUCAGUGCCAGGCACGACAGUUCCAGUAUCGCAGAAACAGCCGGCCUCCUGGGCUUUUCACGUACGACAGUGUCUAAGGGUUUACAGAGAAUGGUGCGACAAACAAAACACAUCCAGUCAGCUGCAGUCCUGUGGGCAAAAACAGCUUGAAGGAGAAGGAGAAUGGCACGAAUCGUGCCAGCUAACAGGCGGGCCACAAACAGGCAAAUAACGGAGCUUAUGAACAAAACUACUCAGUAAUCUUCUCCGUAAAGACCGGGGGUCAAGCUGAUGAACCAAACUACUCUGUAAUCUCCUCCAUAAAGACUGUGGGUCAGCCUGAUGAACCAAACUACUCUGUAAUCUCCUCCGUAAAGACCGGGGGUCAAGCUGAUGAACCAAACUACUCAGUAAUCUUCUCCGUAAAGACUGUGGGUCAGCCUGAUGAACCCAACUACUCUGUAAUCUCCUCCGUAAAGACCGGGGUCAAGCUGAUGAACCAAACUACUCAGUAGUCUCCUCCAUAAAGACUGUGGGUCAGCCUGAUGAACAAAACUACUCUGUAAUCUCCUCUGUAAAGACCGGGGGUCAAGCUGAUGAACCAAACUACUCAGUAGUCUCCUCCUUAUAGCCUAACUCUCACACACUCACAUAAACACACACAUUUCAACAAAACAAAUAUAUAUAUUUUUUUUGUGUGUGAUUACUGAUCAAUUCAUAUGUGCAUUUAAUUUUCUGUUUUAACAAAGCUUUUUAUUUGGGUACUUAUGUCUUGUAAAUAAUUUGUUUGUUUGCUGUGGUUUUUAUAUCAGUUCUUGUGCUUUCAACCACACCUGCACACCGUUUUUAUUUAUACAUUUUUAUCUGUAUUGUUGUCUAUCACUUGUUAUCUUUGGUGUACAUUGUUCUUUAAAGGAUUUGGCGUAAGUAGCAUGAGUCCAUGGCCAACGAGUCCUGGUGUCAACGGUACAGACUGGUGGCAGUGGUGUAAUGGUUUGGGGAUUAUUUUCCUUGCACACGUUCGGUCCCUUGAUACCAAUUGAGCAACGUUUCCGAGCCCCGAGGCUGUUCUGGAGGCAAAGGGGAGUCCUACCCAGUACUAGAUGGGUGUACCUAAUAAACUGGCCACUGAGUGUCUCACUUCUCUGUUAUAAAAAGUAUGCAAAUAAAAGGCACCAAACACACAGGGUUGGUUACCUCCUGAGGUCCCUUGUGUCUCUACCAACCGAGGUCAACCAGCCCAUAGUUUUAACGUUCCUGUGUUUGGAAUCAUUUACUAACCACAUGACAUCUUGAGUCCCUGGUGCCAAUAGGGUCGUUUAAAAUGAGGAAUGAAUUCAGUGAGGUUUGCGAGUGUUUUGGUUGAUUUUAAUCAUGUAUUUGUGUUGUUGAAAUGUAGUUUAUAUGUGCUGUAGGUUGUUUUGGUUGAUUUUAAUCAUGUAUUUGUGUUGUUGAAAUGUAGUUUAUAUGUGCUGUAGGUUGUUUUGGUUGAUUUUAAUCAUGUAUUUGUGUUGUUGAAAUGUAGUUUAUAUGUGCUGUAGGUUGUUUUGGUUGAUUUUUUUAUUUCAUUCAUUUGAUUUGAGCAUUUUUUGUUGUCAGGGCACCAUUCAGAAUGAGUCUCAAUUGGCCACCGUGAAUAAAUAAAAGGUAAAACAAAGAAAUAACAAAUCCAUUGCUGUAUGCUGUCAUUGUCAAGACAAACAUUUUUAGCAUGAAAAUGGUGGAAAAGGAGUUGGCAUGAUGGCACAAACAGAC